CAGGGAAAGGGUACUAUGGCCGUGGUCCAAUUCAACUAUCCUGGAACUUCAACUAUGGUCCUGCAGGAAAAAGUAUUGGAUUCGAUGGCCUGAAUUCACCUGAAACUGUGGCUAACGAUGCUGUUAUAUCAUUCAGGACAGCUUUGUGGUAUUGGAUGAACAAUGUGCAUUCACUCAUAACUUCUGGCCAAGGAUUUGGAGCUACGAUUCGAGCGAUCAAUGGUGCUCUUGAGUGUGAUGGCAAGAACCCAGAAACAGUUAAUAAACGCGUCGGAUACUAUGAGGAUUACUGCAAGCAAUUUGGUGUGGAUCCAGGAGCUAACCUUACUUGCUAGACGCCAUUAUGAUUUACCAAGAGCUCCAAGUCCAUUGCAUGUUAAAUGGGGGGAAAUAAAUAUUAAUUUAAAAUUACUGAAUAAAGUCUACCUAGCUCCAAGUCCAUUUGUGUGUUAAAUGGAGGGAAAUAAAUAAAUAUUCCUAUUCUUCUUCUUAAUGUGAAAUCCAAAAUGGCUCUCCUGUUGUGUUGCAUGACAUUUUCCUUUUUCUCUACCUGAGCAAUGAUUAUAAUGCACUUAUCAUCAGUAUAGGCUAUCCAAAGUGGAGCUUCACACCACUCAUCAUUAUUCAAACACUGAAAACGCUUAUAGACUUAAAAAUGAAUAUUUUAGAGCCUCCGAUCCAUGUAUUUAGUGCGGAAAUAGAUGAUACCAUUUGUGCUGGCAUUCUAAAGUCACCGGUUCACCAUUAGCCAAAUAAGUCUUUAGUGCAUAUGAUGAUCUGUCUUCUUGAGAAUGAAGAUCUUUCCAACAAUGGAGCAGCAAUAUUGGAAAAAUAAGCAAUAAUACAGAACACUUGAACUCCUAGAACAAUAGAGAAGAGAACUAAAUAUUUCAUUCAAUUCAAUAUGGCCUUUUAUAAUGGUUAAUGUCAAGGAUUCACAGCCUAAAAGGUUUAAGUUAUUGCAUGGAGACUGGCCUAGGCUUAUAAACCCAUAUGAGGUACAUUGUGACACAAAUCGGCCCCUACUCGAAGAGGGGUCCAACAUAGCCAAAGUCCUACAUGACCUCGGUAGAUCCACAUGAUUGAUAAGGCUAUGUUGCACAUUAGAUCUGGUUCUAAUACCACCUUUAAGGAACUUAUAAACCUAGGUAGCACUAUCAAUUGACGUGAGAUUAUUAUAUUAAGCAUCCUUGUUUUUUGUUGUGGGAUCCUGGUGCUACCCAUGAAAGUGUACACACUUGUUUCUUGUUGAAAAGGUAAGGAUUUUACAGAUAUCGGGAAAAAUCGUACAAACGAAUCUUCCCUAUAAUCCAUUAAUAUUUGAUUUAGUACAAAUGUUGAAGAUGAUUGUAGAAAUGACCCUGUCGUGAAUCAAACUCUUAUAUGAUCAUGUCUCCAAGAUUUAUGUCAAACUUUUAGCUCCUCCAUUAGCUUUAAACAUGUACUGUCAAUGCAUGUUGGCUAGGUCUACAAUGUGCAUCGGUUUGACUGAAUAAUAUCAUUCUAGACCAUUACAAUAAUCUAAAUCGUUGGCCAUUUUUUUCAGAAAAGUAUGAGGACUAAGUCAUCGCCAUUUCAUUAAGCAUAAUAAAAGAAAGUUGAUACAAGAGAAGAGAAGAGGUUGGCUUGUCUGAUUACAUUCAAAACCUCCGUCCAUAAGCAACGAUUAAAUAACCUUGCCCUAUCAGAACACCAUAAUACAAAUCUCUAUCAAAACCAAUCUCGACCAACAAAGUGAAAUGUCAUGCCCCCAAUCCGAGAUCGUAAGCCGGAGGUUAUGACAAUCACCGCAUACUCAUAGGGAACUCUCCCUACAAGCAUACAAGGCAUCUCAUCACGAUNNNNNNNNNNNNNNNNNNNNNUUAUUCAACUUUAAUUCAAAUAACUAAAUCAAAUAUCUUACGUCCAAUAAAAUUUCACUAAAAAUAAAAUAAUAGAUGUAAAUUCAAUGAAGUUAACAAUGCUAAAUCUCGCCUCCAAAAGCUCUGUCCCAAUAUUAUUUUCCACGUUCGCAAUUAAUUAUCUAAAUCUGAAAAAUAAAAAGAAAGGUAAUGAGCUAGACAGCUCAGUAAGUAAUAAAUAUCUCAACUAGACAUUUCAAAUAUUAUAUAAUUUUUAAAAAUAAUACUGCAAAUAAAUAUAAAAAUAUAUUUCAUGCUAAUUCAAUAUAAAUCCAAUCUUUUCAAAUAUUUAUAUACAAUAUAAUCAUAAAUCCAAUUCGAAUCAAAACACUCAUAACUCAAUAGUCUCGACUAUGACCAACGUUUAACCCCCAUUGAUGGGAUCCACUGAAUACCAGUGCACAACCCCCACUGAUAGGGUCCACUAAAUACUAGCGCACAACCUCCACUGGCAGUAUUCACUAAAUACCAACGUAUGAUCCCCAUUGACGGGGCCUAUUGAAACAUCGUUAGGCUGAGAGCAUAAAUCUGAUCAAAAUACUUUUAUAUCAUAAUAUAUCAUAAUUUUUCACUGAACAUAUGUAUAAUCAAUAAUCCAUAAUAUUUCAAAAUCACUUUUCGUUCAAAAUAUAAUUUUAUAAAUCAUACAUAAUUUUAAAGAAUAAUUAUUUAUUUUCAAAAUAAAUAUAAAAUAUCUCGAGAAGAUGAUUCAUUACUUAUCUUUCACAGAUCACUGAACGAAUAGAUGGAUUAACCUUUAAGAGAUUCUUCGGUGCCUAUUAUUCAAAAUUAUAUUCUUACAUUAAUUUCAAUUCAAAAUUAAAUCUAAAUAAAUCCUAAAUCAAAAUUUCACUUGAAAUCGAACUCUUCACUAAACUCGAUCAAAAUCAUCAAAAUGAAGUCUUUCACUACGCUAAUCUUAGAAGGAUAACUUUGGAAAGAGAAAUCCAUCAAGAGAGAGAAANNNNNNNNNNNNNNNNNNNNNNNNNNNNNNNNNNNNNNNNNNNNNNNNNNNNNNNNNNNNNNNNNNNNNNNNNNNNNNNNNNNNNNNNNNNNNNNNNNNNNNNNNNNNNNNNNNNNNNNNNNNNNNNNNNNNNNNNNNNNNNNNNNNNNNNNNNNNNNNNNNNNNNNNNNNNNNNNNNNNNNNNNNNNNNNNNNNNNNNNNNNNNNNNNNNNNNNNNNNNNNNNNNNNNNNNNNNNNNNNNNNNNNNNNNNNNNNNNNNNNNNNNNNNNNNNNNNNNNNNNNNNNNNNNNNNNNNNNNNNNNNNNNNNNNNNNNNNNNNNNNNNNNNNNNNNNNNNNNNNNNNNNNNNNNNNAGAGAGAGAGAGAGGAGAGAGAGAGAGGAGAGAGUAAAUUUCUCUUUCUUUUUCUUUUGUUUUUCUUUUGUUUUUCUUUUGGGCGAAACAGGGGACCAUGUGGUCCCCCCCUUGUUCGGUCGAUUAGAAGCGUGGCCGGCACGACGAUGGCUAGUGGCAGGAGGGGCUACGAUGGUGCAGCUCGGAAGAAGCCAGAUCGACGGUCGGCGGUGACCACCGGCAUUGAAAAAUCAAAGAAAAGAGGGGCGAAAAUAGGAGAUUUUUUUCCAACAAAAUCCGACGAAUCUGGUCACCGACGAUCGUGUACACAGGCAAGAGAAGGAAGGGAGAGAAAAGAGGAAGAGAAGUCGGGGCUUACCUCGAGUUCCGGUGACCUCUCCGACGAGAAAUCGAGGUGAGCAUAGUGAUGGCUUCCGCGAGCGAUUUCCAGCAAUCCUCACCGUUUUAGCUCCUGAUUUCUUUGGUGGGGGGAGAGAGAAGAGUCUCUCCUUUAAAUAGGGUCAGAGGGGAAGAGUUUGACUCUUCCCCGGAGUGUUUUCCGACUCUGAUUAAGAGCCGGUCGAGAGGAAGAAGAAAACUCUCAGGAGUCUUCUUCGUUUUUUUUUGUUGGGCUUUGUGGGCCUUUGGGCUGGAUUUAAGGCCCAAAUGGGUCGAGUAUUACAUUUUUCCCCCUAAAAAUAAAUUUCAUCCUCAAAUUUUUUUUUCUGCUUAAGUCCUCCAAAAUUCAGAUUACUUUUAUGUUAAAUCAUGUCAUCCUCUAAUUUCAAAAUCGAAUCUUUAAUCAUAAUAUCUAUCAAAUCUAAUUAUUUGAGAACAAUUCAAACCAUUAUGCUUUCAUUGCGCACUCUGAUUCAGUCCACUAGUACACGUAUGUCAAUUUAAGUUUCUAAAUUAUAUCAUGAUCAGUAUAAGUCAUUGUCCCAAUAUUCCUAGUGUCUAUCCACCAAUACUCAUGUCUGAUUCUAUAUGUCAUAUAGUUUAUCCACUUAUGCUCUGAUACCAUAUUAAUUGUCACGCCCCCGACUUGAAUCGCGAGCCGGAGGUCAUGGCAACCGCCACAUACUCAUAGAGAACUCUCCCUACAAGCAUGCAAGGCAUCUCAUCAUGAUAUCAAUACAUCACAGCAGAAUAAAAUCAAAUAAUUAUUAUUCAACUUUAAUUUAAAUAACUAAAUCAAAUAUCUCACAUCUAAUAAAGUUUCAUUAAUAAUAAAAUAAUAGAUGUAAAUUCAAUAAAGUUAACAAUACUAAAUCUCACCUCUAAAAGCUCUGUUCCAAUAUUAUUUUUCACGCUCGCAAUUAAUUAUCUAAAUCUGAAAAAUAAAAUAAAAGAUAAUGAGCUAGACAGCCCAGUAAGUAAUAAAUAUCUCAACUAGAUAUUUCAGAUAUUAUAUGAUUUUCAAGAAUAAUACUGUAAAUAAAUAUAAAAAUAUAUUUCAUACUAAUUCAAUGUAAAUCCAAUCUUUUUAAAUAUUUAUAUACAAUAUAAUCAUAAAUCCGAUUCGAAUCAAAACACUCAUAACUCAACAGCCUCAACUAUGACCAACGUUUAACCCCCAUUACCAAGGUCCACUAAAUACCAGCGCACAACCCUCACUGGCAGGGUCUACUAAAUACCAGUGCACAACUCCAACUGGCAGGAUCUACUAAAUACCAACGUAUGAUCCCCAUUGACCGAGCCCACUGCAAUAUAAUUAGGCUGAGAGCAUAAAUCCGAUCAAAAUACUUUUGUAUCAUAAUAUAUCAUAAUUUUUCACUGAACAUAUAUACAAUCAAUAAUCCAUAGUAUUUCAGAAUCACUUUUUAUUCAAAACAUAAUUUCAUAAAUCAUGCAUAAUUUUAAAAAAUAAUAUUUAUUUUCAGAAUAAAUAUGAAAUAUCUCGAGAAGAUGAUUCAUUACUUACCUUUCACUGACCACUGAACGAAUAGAUGGAUUAACCUUUAGGAGAUUCUUCAGUACCUAUUAUUCAAAAUUAUAUUCUUGUAUUAAUUUUAAUUCAAAAUUAAAUCUAAAUAAAUUCUAAAUUAAAAUCUCAUUUGGGAUCAGACUCUUCACUAAACUCGAUCAAAAUCAUCAAAAUGAAACCUUUCACUAUGCUAAUCUUAGAAGCAUAACUUUGGAGAGAGAAAUCCAUCAAGAGAGAGAAACAAUCUAGAGAGAGAAAAAUCUAGUGAGAGAAAGUAGAGAGAGAAAGUUUAAUAUUUUAGAGAGAGAAAGUAAAGAUUCAGACUGAAGGAAGAGAGAGAAGAGGGAGAGAGAGAGGAGAGAGAAAAUUCUCUCUUUUUUUCUUUUCUUUUUCUUUUCUUCCCGUGGUUUCUUUUGGGCGAAAUAAGGGACCGUGUGGUCCCCCCUUGUUCGGCCGAUCAGAAGUGUGGCCGGCACGACGAUGGCCGGCAGCAGGAGGAGCUGCGAUGGUGCAGUUCGGAAGAAGUCAGACUGACGGUCGGCGGUGACCACUGGCACCGAAAAAUCAAAGAAAAGAGGGGCGGAAACAGGAAACUUUUUCUUUAAUAAAAUCCGACAAACCCGAUCACCGACGAUCGUGCACACAGGUAAGAGAAGGAAGGGGGAGAAAAGAGGAAGAGAAGCCGGAGCUUACCUCGAGCACAGUGACAGCUUUCAUGAGCGAUUUCCGGCAAUCCUCAUCAUUUUGGCUUCUAGUUUCUUUGGUGGGGGGAGAGAGAAGAGUCUUCCCUUUAAAUAGGGUCAGAGGGGAGGAGUUUGACUCCUCCCCGGGUUGUUUUCCGACUCCGAUUAAGAGCUGGUCGGAAGAAAGAAGAAGACUCUCGAGAGUCUUCUUCAUUUUUUUUUUUUGUUGGGCUUUGUGGUUCUUUGGACUGGCUUUAAUUAAGGCCCAAAUCGAUUGGGUAUUACAUGAAACCUCCGAAACAUUGCUCCCGAUGCCCUCCAUCACUAAAGUCACUCUUAGCUCUCUAUUUUCACCCACUUAAUAUAUACUUUGGAAACAAUUUUGUUUAAACAAGUGAUGGGCUAACUAAUUACUAGCUAUUUAUCAUUAAAAAAAAAGAACAUUUGCAUAUUUCAUGGACAUAAUGAACUAAACUAUUUUUAUCCAAUUGAAAAUAGUCUCACAAACGAGGCAAUACCCCGUAUAGCCACAUAUAGGAUCCUCCUUAUCAAUCAAAAAAGUCCACCUCAGGUGGAAACCAUGCAGGCCAAUCAACUUUCCACUGCUGACACCCUUAAUAUUAGACAUGUGAUAUGCGACCUAGUUAACUCCCUCUAUACAUGCUGCAUUUUAUAAUAUUCUACAACAUGCAAAAGAGUAAAGCACCGCGAUUUUAGCUUUUCCGCGGUAUCAAGAAGGAAAACAUGUUAUAAUGAAGACUACAAAAAAAAUUAUUUUGUUGGCCUUAGUUAGCCCUAAUUCGGAUAUAUUUAAUGUGUGCUAUCUGCCUAUUGACACCUCUUAAUUACAUGGGAGCUAAAAAUUUUUCAUUUCAAAUGGGAUAAAACCACAAAAUGGAGCUCAUCAUGACUAUUGUAAAAAAUAUGACACAUUGAUGGAUUUCAAGGAAAAAUGGAUAAAGCCCAACACCCCAUCCCUCACUCCCAAAACUCGAACAAAAACUUGGAAGGUUUCUUCUUUAUCUUCUUCUACAAGCAUAUGGGUCGGUUUCUAUGUAAUCCGCACAUUUUUAUUAUCCAACGUAAUGUUUGUUAUAUGUCACGUCUAAAAGUAUGCAAACUGGAUGGGCAAACAAAGGGAUUGUGCUGUAUCUUGAAAAAAAAAUGAUUGAUCUUUUUUUAUGAUGUCAAUUAUUAGAUCACGUUUUGUAUAACUUGCAAAAUAUAAUAAUUUUUUAAAAAAAUAUACAGCAUAAAUCAUGAUGAAAAUGCAAUCGAGCAAUUGACAUUGUGAAAAAAGAUCAAUUAUUCUUUGAUACAAUCCAAACCCCAAAUAGAACCUAUCAUCGGAGGAAUGAGGCAUCAUGUAUAUUUAAAGAACACGAUAGCGUGUGUCAGCGAUGCAUCGGACAGUCAAAAAUAUGACAGUGUUUAGGCCUACCCUACACCCUCAUUGUAUACCCUAUAAUUUGCAAGCACCCCCAAUGAAAUCCUGGCUAACUCACACCCACCCUUUUUCGCCGCGCGACUCAUAAUGUCCUUCAAAGUCGAUUGCAACGACCACCACCAUGUCGGCUCCCUCUGUGUCACAGGACUGAAGCCUUGGACACGGGCUUGGCAUGGGCGCAGGCGGCACCAUGCCAUACGAAAAGGUUGGGGGUUUUUUCCUGUAAACACUUGUGUCUCAUACCUUGGGGUGUUGGCUGGCUAAGGGAGUUGGCGCCAUCACGGAAGCAAUUUUGGAAGCUGAAAGUUGCCCCGUGACACUCUGCAUACCACCAAAGACCACGACUAAUUCCCACCUCAAUUGAAAAAAAAAAAAAGAAACAAAGAAAAUCCCAAGUCAAUCCACCAAACAAAGCCUUCAACGUUCUUGAAUUCAAACUUCUCAAAGUCCCAACCUAUCUAUCCAUAUAUGCAAAUCCCUCUCUUCAAAGUCUCAACUCCCAUCUAAUUAACAUGUCUCCCCGCUACCCUCAAUCUGCCGCCAAAAUGGCAUGUAGUAUCACUUUAUUCCACCUCUUCCUACUUGCUAGAAUAAUCUCCACCGCCACCGCCCAGAACUGCGGUUGCUCGCCAGAACUCUGCUGCAGCCAGUGGGGCUACUGUGGCACCGGCAGCGACUACUGCGGCAUGGGCUGCCGCGAGGGCCCAUGCGAGUACGUUUCAGCCACCAUCUAUGAUGUCUCGGUGGCGGAGAUCGUCACACAGCAAUUCUUCGAUGGAAUUAUUAAUCAUCAGGUGGAUAACGAGUGCGUCGGCAAGAGCUUCUACACAAGAGCUGCUUUCCUGGAUGCUCUCAGGUCCUACCUCAACUUUGGCCAGGUUGGGAGUGUGGAUGAUUCCAAGAGGGAGAUUGCAGCUUUCUUCGCUCAUGUCACCCAUGAGACUGGACGUAAGUUCUCCAACGUAUGACUUUCUUCCUGUUGGCUUAAGGAAUAGGAUUUUAUAUUGGAUAGAGAGAAUGGAACGGAUUAAGUACCGGUUGAAUAGCAUAAUUAAAAAGAUAUUGAUGCAUGACAUGUCUGGCGGGGUAUUUGCUCUUUGUUUCUCUUUUAGGCUUCGUUUGAGUCGAUAAUAAAGAAAAAUGGAAUAGAAAAGUUAUUGUUAAGAUUUGAAGCCUCAACAUUCGGUCCAUAUUGAGUCCACAGCGAGGUUCGCGAUGAAAAAUAGAGUCCAACGAGAUCAAGAUCACCUCAAAUGGAGCUCGAACGGAGGAGAUAUACGCGUUUGAAAUCGGCACGGAACUCGAAGUGGAGAAAGAUGCGCGGGCCAGCCCAGGCCCAGGCGUGCAGGGCACAGCACGAGCGCGGCCCAGGUCCAUGCAUGGGGCGACCCAAGUCCAGGCGCCCGCGUUGGGAUCUCUAGCCCAGUCCACCGUGGACCAAGCGGUCCAUGGCUCUCCGCAUGGACCAUGUGAGUAUUUCCCAUGCAUUUUGCACAGUCCACGAAACUAUUCCAUGGUUCGGUCACAAUCAGAUGGCUCUGGAAGACUUGUGGUGUUAAUCCAACGAUCCGAAGCUUGAUUGGGCUUGAUUAGGACUCCUAAACAGGUUCUAAUUGAGUUGUUUAAGCCUUUAAAAUGCCUGAUACAGUAGAACAGAGGUGUGGUGUGGCUUGGUGGUCAUGCACGGUUCCUUUCAACAGCCGAAAAUCAAAGAACCCGGACCAAAGAGAGAGAGCACACGACGCUGAGAGAAGGAGCAAGGCUCUUGGACAGCAGACAGCGGUCGCUUCAGGGGGUCUUUCUAGAGAGAGAAUUUUUGUGAGGAAAAACUUUCUGUAAGAAAAAAAUUGAGUGCAUGAGAGUUGAGGAUGAGAUCUUCUCUUAUAAUAUUUUUUUUCAUAAUAAAGUUUGCAUGUCCCGUAGAGGCGAGUCAUUUUUUGGCUAAUCCACGUAUUUGAUUGUUUUCUGUUUUAUUUCUUCUUUCUUCCUGCUGUAUUGCGUGGUACUGAAAAGAUUUUAGGAGGUGGUGUCUUGACCAGAUAUUUACCCAACAGUUAUGCCUACUCGAAUGGUUAUGCCAAGUUUGUUGGUUGGAAGACGAGUCGACGAAGCACACCCUUCUAUGUUUUUUUAGAGUGAGAUUGAUUUGAAGGAUGGCAAAUGGUCAGCCUUGUGGGGCAUGUAGCUUCCUAAAUACAAUCCGUUGGAGUACGAUCAAGGCAUCGAUCCGUACUUAGGGAGAUGGGAUGGUGCAUGUCGUCUAUCAAAUCUGACUUUCUAAAAAUAAUCUGAUCUUCGAAGCCUAAGUUUUACUUGAGCAUCAAAUAUUAGAGAGAGCCAUUUGCUUGGUUGUGGAGUAUAGUAAUUUCGAUGCUGCUAACCAUCUCUUAACAGUCCGGAUUCUUAGGACUCUCAUGUUACUCCGACUGCGAUCCAGAAGAUUCUUUUCAUUUCUUGGGAGUCUCUUCCUUCAGAAUUUGCCAAGAUUAAUUUUGUUAGUGGUGUUAGGAAUGGUAGGAGUGGCUUGCUAUGUCAUUCGGAAAUCCAAAUGCCAGGUUGCUGGCAGCGGAGGACUUAUGUCUAUUUGAGCUUUCCAUCUCGAAGUAGAAUUUCGAGCCAUCGGGAUGGGCAUCAUCUGUCCCAGACAUGAGCUACAAGCGGAGAGACAUCCAAGAACAAGACUAAUAUCUAUUCUUCGAUGCAGAUUUUUGCUAUAUAGAAGGAGAUCGAUGGUGCAUCGCAGGACUAUUGCAACGAGACCGACACACGAUGGCCAUGUGUUCCAGGAAAGGGGUAGCAUGGCCGUGGCCCAAUUCAACUAUCCUGGAACUUCAACUAUGGUCCUGCAGGACAAAGUAUUGGAUUCGAUGGCCUGAAUUCACCUGAAACUCUGGCCAAUGAUGUUGUCAUAUCAUUCAGGACAGCUUUAUGGUGUUGGAUGACCAAUGUGCAUUCACUCAUAACUUCUGGCUAAGGAUUCGGAGCUACGAUUCGAGCGAUCAAUGGGGCUCUUGAGUGUGAUGGCAAGAAUCCAGAAACAGUUAAUAAACGCGUCGGGUUCUAUGAGGAUUACUGCAAGCAAUUUGGUGUGGAUCCAGGAGCUAACCUAACUUGCUAGAUGCCAUUAACAUUUUACCUAUAGCUCCAGGUCCAAAUGAAAAAAAUAAAAAAUAUUAGAAUAAGAAGAAGUCAAUAAAAAAAUUCAAAAUAAUCCUCAAACUCAUAGAAGAUAAUAGUCCAAUGGACAUAUUCAAUCAUAUAAAAAGAUUUGACUCUUUUUCAAAUAUAUAUAUUGAUUUUAGAAUAAUAUUAAUAAUUUUAGUUAGUGUUGCUUCGGUAAAAAAACAUUUUUUAAAAUUAAAAUUAAUAAACUCUUAUUUAAGACCAAUAAUGUCUCAAAAAAGAUUAAAUAGAUUGAUUAUAUUAUCAAUUGAAAAAAAAUAUUAGAAGAAUUUGAUUAUAAAAAUUUAAUUAAAAAUUUUACAUCUCAAAAAAUUAAAAAAAUAAAAUUUUAAUAAAAAAAUUUAUAUAAAUUUUAAUAAAAAAAUUUAUAUAAAUUUUAAUAAAAAAAAUUAUUUUAAUAUUUAGCUUUAGGCCUCCAUAUGUAUUGAUUACCUCUGGGAUACUUGAUGUCUUCCGUGAAUUAUUCUAGAGUUAGCCAGGGAGGACCUUAUAAUCUUUGGAUAAUCUCUCGAAUAUUGACUCCGUCUUGUUCAAAAACAGGGGAAAGUGGGGGAAAAACAGGACUUAAAAGGCUGGAAAAAGCAUCCGAAUGACAGUCAAAUCCAAAUGUCAACCCUUGCUAUCUUCCACCAUCUUUCUCUUGUAACUGCUCAUUAAAAAAACUAGCCUUAAUUUCUUUGGAAAUUCUGAUGAUAAGAUCACUGGCAGUGCCACCUUUUUCUUCUAGAAAGAAAGAAGAUUCAAAGUCGCAAGCCAUACCAUGCCGUACGUCCCACUUUUUGGAUAAACUGUACGUCCCUUUCCUUUCGCUUUGGUAUCCAAGGUCCAAAUCUUUGACCAUUCAUCCAUGAAACAUGAUUCCCACCAUCUGCAUUUGAAAGAAUUUAUGAAAGUUUAUGGCUUUUUUUUUUUAAAGAUCUUCUAUGUUUCUAUCUAUAAUCUUCAAUACUUAAACCCUUUUUACCUGAGUUUGAAUUUUCAAAAUUGUUUCAAGAAUUAUAAAAGUUCCCAUGAAUUGGAAAAAGUCCUCCACAUGGAGAAGCUUCUGAGUUUGAGCCUUGGAAGUGUUUGUGGAGUUUGGAUCCAAGCAAUUCGCCUGAACUCUGAAGGCAAUGCAAUAAUAAUUAUUAGAAAAGAAAAAAAAUGUAACAAAUUUCAAACAUGCAUAAAAAUGCAACCUGUUCUUUUGAAGGAAAAGAUGUUAAAAAUUAUGCUAAAAGUUUUUCAUUUCCAAGUGGAUAAAACCACAAGGUGGAGCUCAUCGUGAUUAUCAUAAAAUGUAUUUUUUUUGGUAAUGACUAUCUUAAAAUGUUACGAGACCAACUGCAAUAGUAUUAAUGGAUUGAGACCAAUUGCAAAAGAUGAUGGAGAAGAAAAAAUAAUUUUAAGAUCUUCUUCUACAUGCAUAUAGGCCGGUGUACAUCUUAAUUAUCCAGUGUAAUGUUUGUUGCACGUCACAUCUAAAAAUAUGCAAACGGGAUAGCCAUAAAAGAAGAGUAAUCAUAUUUCUAUACAAAAAAAAAAAAAGAAAGAAGAGUAAUCAUAUUUAAUUGAGGGCAAGUUGAUCUAAUAUGGAUAAAAUGUUAAACUUAAAUAUAAUAAUAAAGUGGAAGUUUUAAGUUUGGUGGGAUUAGAAGUUAAAAUCCCAUCCACUAAUUGAUGGGGCAUUAAAUUUUUCUUUAAAAAAAACCAAUCAAUGCAUGUUCGAGGCAUCAUGUGUAUUUAAAGAACAUGACAACGUGUGGCUAGCGAUGCAUCGGCCACUCAAAAAUAUCUAUACAUCCUUUUACUUAUCUUUUAUUUUUUGGUAUAAAUAUCUAUCAUUCCUUUACUCCUACCCCACACCCUCAUUGGAGACUUCAUAAUUUGUAAGCACCCACUAAGAAAUCUUGGCUAAUCCACACCCUCCAUUCUGCACCAUCUGACACAAAAUCACCGAAGUCGCUUGGAAUAACCAUCAGCUUGUCGGCGCCCUCCUUAUUCCACCAAAGACCACAGCUAUUCCCACCACUACAAAGGAAAAAAAAAAAAAAAAAGCCCAAGUCAAGCCACCCAAUUAAGCCUCCAACUCGCUUCAGUUCAAACUUCCUCAACUCCUAUAAAUCUCUCCCCAAGUCUCAACUCCAUCUAUCCAAUAUCUCUCCCCACUAGGCUCAAAUGUCUGCCAAUAAAAUGGGAUGUAGUAUAACUUUAUUCCUUCCUUUCCUACUUGCUGGAAUAAUCUCCUCCGCCACCGCCCAGAACUGCGGUUGCUCGCCGGACCUCUGCUGCAGCCAGUGGGGCUACUGCGGCACCGGCAGCGACUACUGCGGCACGGGCUGCCGGGAGGGCCCAUGCGAGUCGUCGCCGCCCACCAACGACGUCUCGGUGGCGGAUAUCGUCACGCAGCAAUUCUUCGAUGGAAUUAUUAAUCAGGCGGAUAACGGGUGCGUCGGCAAGAGCUUCUACACGAGAGCUGCCUUCCUUGAUGCUCUCGACUUCUACCCCAACUUUGGCCGGGUUGGCACCGUGGAUGAUUCCAAGAGGGAGAUUGCAGCCUUCUUCGCUCAUGUCACCCAUGAGACCGGACGUAAGUCCUCCUACGUAUAACUUUAUUCCUGUUGGCUUAUGGGUUAGGAUUUUAUAUCGGAUAGAGAGAAUGGAACGGAUCAAGUACUAGUCGAAUAGUAUAGUUAACAAGAUAUUGAUACAUGACAUGUCUAGCGAGGUGUUUGCUCUUGGUUUUUCUUUUAGGCUUCGUUUGAGUCGAGAAUAAGGAAAAUUGGAAUAGGAAAGUUAUGCCUACUCGAAUAGUCAUGCCCAUGUUAUUCUUAUCCCUACUUUUCUCUUCGGCUGGAACUUUGGAAUGACUUUUGGCUGAGGAUGUUCUUAUUCAGAGUUUAAAAAAAGGAAUGAGACAAUUAUAAAUGAUGGUUUCAUGCGACAAAUAGUUUAUGAUAGUUUUCUCUUGAAAUAGUUGUAGGCUUGGAAUUGGUAUAAUCUCUAUUGAUUUCCUUCUUAUGCCGGUUUUUUAAAGAUUAUGUAGCUGCUUAAUUUCUUUAUUCCCCAUGGAAUAUAAGUAAACAUUUUUAAGAUAUUUCUCUUGGGAAUAUGCUUCGGUUCUACCUGCCAAGGUGAAUGAGACGUUUCUACUAGCUAGGUAGCCAUGAAUCCCACCAACAAAGCUUAUGGAUAAUAUCAGAAUUCUUGAACACAUGCUGCUCAAGAUCAUGAAGUCAUGUGAGACCUGAUACUCAAAAAAAGAAGUCAUGUGAGACCCAAAAAUAGUGCAUCUCCUAUGCCAUUAAAAGCAUCUCCUAUGCCCAAAACUUUUUGUUCAUUAUUUCCUCCAAUAUUUUAGCUGUUAGUUUGAUUUCUGUCCAGCUUUUGACUUGUAACACAACCUUCUAUGUUUACUCCAUAUGUAGCCUUUAUGUUUCUUGGCAUCUCAUCAAUUAGUGCUACUUAAUCAUCCAGGAAGAGGACUAAUCUCUAUUUUUCGAUGCAGAUUUCUGCUACAUCGAAGAGAUCGAUGGCGCAUCGAAGGACUACUGCGACGAGAACGACACACAAUGGCCAUGUGUUCCAGGGAAGGGGUACUAUGGCCGUGGCCCAAUUCAACUAUCCUGGAACUUCAACUAUGGUCCUGCAGGACAAAGUAUUGGAUUCGAUGGCCUGAAUUCACCUGAAACUGUGGCUAAUGAUGUUGUGAUAUCAUUCAGGACAGCUUUGUGGUAUUGGAUGAAAUAUGUGCAUUCACUCAUAACUUCUGGCCAAGGAUUCGGAGCUACGAUUCGAGCGAUCAAUGGUGCU
rnacentral:lncRNA from 1 species